rnacentral:ribozyme from 15 species
UAGAAGUAGGCUGAAAUAUGCAUUCACAUGCAAUCAUGAUCGAAAUCCUGUGAAAAGACGAAUAACAGAAUGAAGAUGUUCCUGGAAAUGACGGUCAUGGCUUGCAUUUUGACUUAAACUUCGCACGUUUUUUUUUUUUUUCUUUGAUUUCUUUUUAGACUUCUUAUGCU